UACGUAUGGUGCGAACGUUGUUCGGAAUCACUGGGCAUAAAGAGCACGUAGGCGGUUGAGCAAGUCCAUUGUGAAAUCCCCCGGCCUAACCGAGGAACUGCAUUGGAUACUACUUGACUUGAGUGCAGGAGGGGAGAGUGGAAUUCCAGGUGGAGCGGUGAAAUGCGUAGAUAUCUGGAGGAACGCCGGCGGCGAAAGCGACUCUCUGGUCUGUAACUGACACUGAGGUGCGAAAGCUAGGGGAGCAAACGGG
rnacentral:rRNA from 1 species